CAGCCGCCGCGGUAAUACGUAGGGGCCUAGCGUUGUCCGGAAUUAUUGGGCGUAAAGAGCUCGUAGGCGGUUCGGCAAGUCGGAUGUGAAAUCUCCACGCUCAACGUGGAGGGGCCAUUCGAAACUGCCGUGACUCGAGUCCGGUAGGGGAGUGUGGAAUUCCCGGUGUAGCGGUGAAAUACGCAGAUAUCGGGAGGAACACCAGUAGCGAAGGCGGCGCUCUGGGCCGGUACUGACGCUGAGGAGCGAAAGCGUGGGGAGCAAACAGGAUUAGAUACCCUGGAAGUCCACGCCGUAAACGUUGGGCACUAGGUGUGGGGCUCUAUCGACGGGCUCCGUGCCGUAGCUAACGCAUUAAGUGCCCCGCCUGGGGAGUACGGCCGCAAGGCUAAAACUCAAAUGAAUUGACGG
rnacentral:rRNA from 1 species